rnacentral:rRNA from 1 species
CCUACGGGUGGCAGCAGUGAGGAACAUUGGUCAAUGGACGCAAGUCUGAACCAGCCAUGCCGCGUGCAGGAAGACGGCUCUAUGAGUUGUAAACUGCUUUUGUACGAGGGUAAACGCAGAUACGCGUAUCUGUCUGAAAGUAUCGUACGAAUAAGGAUCGGCUAACUCCGUGCCAGCAGCCGCGGGAAUACGGAGGAUUCAAGCGUUAUCCGGAUUUAUUGGGUUUAAAGGGUGCGUAGGCGGUCGGAUAAGUUAGCGGUGAAAUCCCGAGGCUCAACUUCGGAAUUGCCUCUGAUACUGUGCGGCUAGAGAGUAGUGGCGGUAGGCGGAAGGUAUGGUGUAGCGGUGAAAUGCUUAGAGAUCAUACAGAACACCGAUUGCGAAGGCAGCUUACCAAGCUACUUCUGACGUUGAGGCACGAAAGCGUGGGGAGCAAACAGGAUUAGAUACCCGGGUAGUC